CCCGGAUUUGGAAAGAAGGUCCGGUCCAGGUGGGCCCCGAUGCCUCCUGGGGGAACUGGAAGAAAAGGACAGGAGAGGGAUCUUGUUUUGGACCUGUGAUCCCAUCGAUGUGAGGAACUCUCUGUGAAGAAACUCCAACUAAACAUAGAUACCUAACCUAUUCCACUGAUGAGAAGAAAAUUCUUCAAAGAAAGCAGUUUCAGUAGUUCAGUUGGAAAAGAAGUCAGACUGCAGCACAGGAAUGGUGAGAAAGUGAAGAGAACCACUUCACAUUUUGCUGUGGAGCAAACUUCAGAUUUGUUCUGUGGUGAUGCAGCCCCUGCCCAGAAUCCAUCUAGGAAUUAUCAUUCUACACAUCAAAAUAUGAGAUCUGUGGUGUCUUCAUAGAUCAUUCUCCCCACCCCAAUUGUCAGGACUCUCCCCUUUCCCCUGCAUCUGUAGACUCAGAAACUCCA